rnacentral:rRNA from 1 species
ACGGCGGACGGGUGAGUAACGCGUGGGUAACCUGCCUCAUACAGGGGGAUAACAGUUAGAAAUGACUGCUAAUACCGCAUAAGACCACAGCACCGCAUGGUGCGGGGGUAAAAACUCCGGUGGUAUGAGAUGGACCCGCGUCUGAUUAGCUAGUUGGUAGGUACGGCUUACCAAGGCGACGAUCAGUAGCCGACCUGAGAGGGUGACCGGCCACAUUGGGACUGAGACACGGCCCAA